ACUUGUGUUCUGUAUUUUUUUUUUCAACAAAAAUACAGAACACAAGUUCAUAUAAUGGUAGUGAUAGAUCUUACAUGACUUGGAUUUUAUUGCUUUUGCUCAUCCUUUCCAACUGUACAUGAUUUGACCACACAUAAUUAACAAGCUUUAAUGAAGUACGAAAGGCACAAAUUAAUAGGCCUUAUUCUUCAUAAUUAAGGGUAAAAAAAAGAAAAAAGUUUAAUUAACAACAGUAUAGACUAUAUGUAUGAUCGGCUUUUAGAACUGAUUCA
rnacentral:misc_RNA from 1 species